rnacentral:pre_miRNA from 2 species
CUGUUUGCCGGUGGAGCAUCAUCAAGAUUCACAAGCUUUAGGUGGCAUUAAUUUGUUUGAGGUGGUCCCUUAUUGCUCCAAACCAAUUACCCCUUUGCUAUGAGAAUCUUGAUGAUGCUGCAGCAGCAAUUAA